rnacentral:misc_RNA from 1 species
GAACGCACAUUGCGCCCGCUAGUACUCUGGCGGGCAUGCCUGUCCGAGCGUCAUUUCAACCCUCGAGCCCGUCUCGGUGUUGGGGGCCCCACGGCCGCGAGGCCGCCCCCGAAAUGCAUUGGCGACCCCGCCGCGGCCUCCCCUGCGCAGUAGCUCCCAGAGAACCUCGCACCGGAAACGCGGAGGCGGUCACGCCGUAGAACAACUCUCCUCCUGGAAGUUGACCUCGGAUCAGGUAGGGAUACCCGCUGAACUUAAG